UAGGGGGCAAGCGUUAUCCGGAUUUACUGGGUGUAAAGGGAGCGUAGACGGUUAUGCAAGCCUGAAGUGAAUGGCGGGGGCCCAACCCCCGGACUGCUUUGGAAACUGUAAAACUGGAGUGCAGGAGAGGUAAGUGGAAUUCCUAGUGUAGCGGUGAAAUGCGUAGAUAUUAGGAGGAACACCAGUGGCGAAGGCGGCUUACUGGACUGUAACUGACGUUGAGGCUCGAAAGCGUGGGGAGCAAA
rnacentral:rRNA from 1 species